rnacentral:piRNA from 1 species
CCCAUUCUUCAUGCUAUUCCAGUUGAGC